GGCGGAAGGACAAGAAGAAAUACAUGGUGGUGAAGAAAAUGAGGCGGAUAUGGACUAUAGAAAGAUGAAACGAUCUCACGAAACGUGGUUUCUUCACUAAGCCAGCCAGUUUAAGGAUCAAAAAGGGAAAAAAGUACAAGUUUACAGGGCUGGGUAUCGCGAAGGUCUGGAGUCGGGAAAAGAUGCGAACUUACAACAAGGUUUCAACCAGGGAUUUAUUUAUGGUGCCAACUUGUCAAGGGAAUGGGGAAAAUUAAGAGGUGUCUUGAGUGCCCUGAUGUCAUUUGUAAGUUCAAAAUCAGCCCACGAUAUAAGUCCACAUAUAACUGCUGAAAUCAUUGAGCUUUUUACAUUGGUUGGCCAAAUGGAGAAGCAUUCUCUUGAUACAAACCAUAUGCAAGAUGCUCUGGAAAACAAAAUGAAUCAGGCUCAACAUUCAUUGGAACUGAGAACUGAAGCAUUGAAACAUCACAAGGUGGCUAUCAGCACGAACAAUGGAGAGGAAAAUGAAUUAUCUUCAGCAUUUGAAAGGCUUCACACACAAGGUAGACCUGAAGGUGUUGGAGAUUUAGGUGUAGAAUAUGAGACAGUUGAGGACAGAGUAGAAACAGGAAGUGACUUCAUGGACACAGCUCUGCCUGCCGUAUCCAGCUACUCGACUAGUGUUUCAUUGGAAGCAUCUGAGACAGAACUGAGUGAGGUAGAAACCUUGUGGUCACGGAUUGUUUCCCUAGCUGAAAAAAUUGGUGUCAAUGGACAAAAAAUACUUCCCGUAAAAACUAUUUAAUAUGAAACAAUAUUUAGCAUACACUUUUAAUUUAUGUAAAAAUAUUUAAAUUUAUCCCAGAAAAUUAAAACAAAUUUCCCCAGA